rnacentral:lncRNA from 1 species
UUUUUCUUCCGAAUAUAUUGCUUACGUGUAGUCUGUUUGCACGUGGCGUCUGGCCAUUAGCCACUUUCCCGUGAUUGACUCCAAAGGCUAACGACAACCAUGAACGCGCCGACCAGUCUUGCCGGUUUCCGCCUUUCCGGUCAUUCGAUUUCCAGUUUAAGUAGAUUUACUAAAUUAGUAAGUUUUUCGUGCAUUUUUUUUAUUUGCUUACUGACUUACUGUACACUUUUUCAUUUGGAAAAAAAGUUUAAGAAAUAGUGUAUUUUGGAUUGAAUUAAGGGUCCGUCUUCCAUUCCAAAUUGUUUGUUAUUGUAUAUUGUUUCGGCUCCUAAAUUACCAUUAGUUUCUUUAGGGAUACACGUACAAAACAUAAUAAGUCAAUAGUUUUAGUUAUCAAUUAUUUUAUUUCUUUUUUUUUGUUACAGCAAAUUGAAUUUUAUUUUAGACACAUAUUUUAUAUGAUCGCUGGUAAGAUCUCCAUGCAUUUAUGUGGAAGAAAAGCCGACCAAAAUUAUUUUAAAAAAAAGAAAAAGGAAAAUGAAGUAGAUACUCAAAAAUGGAAACUCCAUCAUUUAAAUAAAUGUUAUGAGAUAUACAUAUUGUUUAUUGGUGGGAUGUUGCUUUCGCAUUGACAGUAUAGUAAAGUAGUACUAAAUAAUAAUGGCAAAAGAAAACAAUAAGGAGUUUUUGCUAAAAAUGAUCUAAAAAUUGAUUUUGAAUACAAAAAUAGAUUCUUGAUGAAAUAUUUGACAAAAAUAACCCAAAGAAAAGAUAAUAUAAUCCUACAUGAUCAAACAAAAAACGGAUGUUUUUAUUACGAUUUAAACCCUGAAGAAGUCUACUAAAGACUGUUAGAAGUUUACUAGUAGACUUCAAACUAAGCUUAUGAAGUCUACUAUGUAAUUAUAUCAUAAAAUUUAAUUUUAAAAUUAAUAAAAAAAUAAUUUUGGUUUCAAAUUUGCAAUCAUAAAUUAGAUAUUGGUAAUCCUAAUGUAUAUAAAUUAUUGUUUCAUAUUCAUAAGCUUAAAUUUAUGGUUUCAAAUUAAGAACAACAUAAUAUUUGAUUUAGGGUUUAUAUUUAGUAGACUUCUAUUUGAAGUCUACUAAACCGUAUAAAUUAUUUAAACCAAGAUUUUAACCAAAAUUAAACCAAAAUUUUAGAUUCAUAUAUAAAGUUAAUAACCCUAAUUUUUUCUAUAACAAAGUUUGGGAGUUCGCCCUAACAUAAUUUUCUCCCAGACACAGUUUACGAGGCAGCCGCGAUCUAAUGUGAGAAUGGCCUUCAACCGCUGGUGACUUCCGACCAACCACCGAAAUUCUUCCUUAUUUCAACCACCGGCGAACUCCUGCUCUGGUUAAACUAUCCGGCAACUGUUAGCUCCACCAGAUCUAAUGUUUUUCAUCUCUCACCGUCUGAUGCCGCUCUCUCUGUUGUUCCUCUCUGGUGUCUCUCUUCUCAUCUUCG